UUUAUGAUGAGUUUAAUGCAAUUAAGAGUGGUACUGUAUCUAUUACACCUACACAUAUCCCAACACCUCCUCCAGACACCGGGGCAACAAAGAAGCGUAGAUUGGCAUGGACUAAGACCCUCGCACAUAAUCCCACACUAGUCCAUCAAUCUAUGGAGCAUCAAAGAAAUAUCCUAUCCUUUCUGAGAUUGCCCGUUGUAUGUUGGCCAUCCCUAUUACCACUGUUGCCUCGGAGUCUGCCUUUAGUACCGGAGGGCGCAUAUUAGAUCCUUUCCGUAGUUCAUUGUCUCCUACAACUGUGGAGGCAUUGAUAUGCACACAUCGUUGGACGAUGGGAAAUGAUAUUUAUGUUCCGGAUGUUUUAGAUUUUAAAGAGACCGACGAAGAGGGUGGUGAUCAGUCUGGAUCUGGACCAUCUGCAACACAUGAGACGACUCAGACAAUGUCUACCUCCACUGCAAUAUGAAUAUGUGCUCAAGCCUCAAAAUAGUCAAAGACUACCCAUCCGGCCGCCCCAAAUGUCACAGUCAAAGACCCAAACAGUUCGCCUCUUUUUCUUAGAUUAUUAAUUUCUUAGAA